ACAGCAGUCGCCACGGGAAUACGUAGGGUGCGAGCGUUAAUCGGAAUUACUGGGCGUAAAGCGUGCGCAGGCGGUUAUAUAAGACAGAUGUGAAAUCCCCGGGCUCAACCUGGGACCUGCAUUUGUGACUGUAUAGCUAGAGUACGGUAGAGGGGGAUGGAAUUCCGCGUGUAGCAGUGAAAUGCGUAAAUAUGCGGAGGAACACCGAUGGCGAAGGCAAUCCCCUGGACCUGUACUGACGCUCAUGCACGAAAACGUGGGGAGCAAACAGGAUUAGAUACCCCGGUAGUCCCUGUCUCUUAUAC
rnacentral:rRNA from 1 species